UGGUGAGAUGGCCGAGUUGGUUAUGGCGCCAGGUUAAGGUUAUCUUAACAUCAAUUUCCUGGUCACGAAAGUGGCGUGGGUUCGAGUCCCACUCUCAUCAA
rnacentral:tRNA from 1 species